rnacentral:rRNA from 1 species
GAAAAGUUGAAAAGGAUUGGCUUCUUUGCUUAUUCCACUUACAAGAUGGGGCCCCGCGGGCGGCCAUUAGCUUAGGUUGGGUGGAGGUUACCGGCUCUACCCAAGGCGGACCGAUGGGGUAGCCCGACCCUGAGAGAGGUGGAUUCGGCCCCACCUGGGAACUGAGGACCCCGGCCCCAGACUUCCUACGGGAAGGCAGCAGUAGGGAAUUCUUCCCGCACAUGGACGAAAGUCCUGACGGAAGCAACGCCCGGCGUUGAACCGAGUGGAAAGUUCUUUCGGAUCGUAAAGGAUCUUGUUGUUUAGGGAAAGGAACACAGAUACCCUCGCGAAUAAAAACCGGUACCUUGACGGUACCUAACGAGGAAGCCCCGGCUAACUACGUGCCAGCAGCCGCGGUAAUACGUAGGGGGCAAGCGUUGUCCGGAAUUAUUGGGCGUAAAGCGCGCGCAGGCGGUUCCUUAAGUCUGAUGUGAAAGCCCACGGCUCAACCGUGGAGGGUCAUUGGAAACUGGGGAACUUGAGGACAGAAGAGGAGAGUGGAAUUCCACGUGUAGCGGUGAAAUGCGUAGAUAUGUGGAGGAACACCAGUGGCGAAGGCGACUCUCUGGUCUGUUUCUGACGCUGAGGUGCGAAAGCGUGGGUAGCAAACAGGAUUAGAUACCCUGGUAGUCCACGCCGUAAACGAUGAGUGCUAGGUGUUAGGGGGCUUCCACCCCUUAGUGCUGAAGUUAACGCAUUAAGCACUCCGCCUGGGGAGUACGGCCGCAAGGCUGAAACUCAAAGGAAUUGACGGGGGCCCGCACAAGCGGUGGAGCAUGUGGUUUAAUUCGAAGCAACGCGAAAAACCUUACCAGGUCUUGACAUCCUUGGACAAUCCUAGAGAUAGGACUUUCCCUUCGGGGACCAAGUGACAGGGUGGUGCAUGGUUGUCGUCAGCUCGUGUCGUGAGAUGGUUGGGGUUAAGUCCCGCAACGAGCGCAAACCCCUAAUCCUUAGUUUGCCAGCAUUUCAGUUGGGGCACUUCUAAGGUUGACUGCCCGGUGACAAACCGGAAGGAAGGCGGGGGAUGAGCCGUCCAAAUUCAUCCAUUGCCCCCUUAUUGAACCUGGGGCCU